AUUGAACGCUGGCGGCAUGCCUUACACAUGCAAGUCGAACGGUAACGCGGGGCAACCUGGCGACGAGUGGCGAACGGGUGAGUAAUGUAUCGGAACGUGCCCAGUAGUGGGGGAUAGCCCGGCGAAAGCCGGAUUAAUACCGCAUGAGACCUAUGGGUGAAAGCGGGGGAUCGCAAGACCUCGCGCUAUUGGAGCGGCCGAUAUCAGAUUAGGUAGUUGGUGGGGUAAAAGCCUACCAAGCCGACGAUCUGUAGCUGGUCUGAGAGGACGACCAGCCAGACUGGGACUGAGACACGGCCCAGACUCCUACGGGAGGCAGCAGUGGGGAAUUUUGGACAAUGGUCGCAAGCCUGAUCCAGCCAUGCCGCGUGCGGGAAGAAGGCCUUCGGGUUGUAAACCGCUUUUGUCAGGGAAGAAAUCUUCUGGGUUAAUACCUCGGGAGGAUGACGGUACCUGAAGAAUAAGCACCGGCUAACUACGUGCCAGCCGCCGCAGUAA
rnacentral:rRNA from 1 species